rnacentral:tRNA from 1 species
UCCCUCAUAGCUCAGUUGGUAAAGAAUCUGCCUGCAGUGCAGAAGACUCCUGGGUUCGAUUCCUGGGUUGGGAA